GGAGAGAUGCCAGAGUGGCCGAAUGGGGCAGAUUGCUAAUCUGUUGAACUCGAAAGGGUUCCCGGGGUUCGAAUCCCCGUCUCUCCG
rnacentral:tRNA from 1 species